UGGGGAAUAUUGGACAAUGGGGGCAACCCUGAUCCAGCAAUGCCGCGUGUGUGAAGAAGGCCUGCGGGUUGUAAAGCACUUUCAGUAGAGAAGAAAAGCUUACGGUUAAUACCCGUGAGUCUUGACGUAACCUACAGAAGAAGCACCGGCUAACUCCGUGCCAGCAGCCGCGGUAAUACGGAGGGUGCGAGCGUUAAUCGGAAUUACUGGGCGUAAAGCGCGCGUAGGCGGCUUUGUAAGUCGGAUGUGAAAGCCCAGGGCUUAACCUUGGAAUUGCAUUCGAUACUGCAGAGCUAGAGUAUGGUAGAGGGAAGUGGAAUUUCCGGUGUAGCGGUGAAAUGCGUAGAUAUCGGAAGGAACACCAGUGGCGAAGGCGACUUCCUGGGCCAAUACUGACGCUGAGGUGCGAAAGCGUGGGGAGCAAACAGGAUUAGAUACCCCCGUAGUCC
rnacentral:rRNA from 1 species